GAAAACCAUCAUUGCUGCCGUCGUGACCGCCGCACCAAUGUGAGAAGAUGGGCUCGUUUAGCCCCGUUUUGGAGCACCUCUGAAGGCCCUACCUCCAAAACCUAAAACGCUGAAAGGAGGAGAUUCUCAGCCCCUUUUGGGCCCUACUUUGGCGAUGGAAAAGGGAUCUCCGAUGCCACGACCAUGGGGUUCAGAUUUGUUUUGUAGGUGGUGUCAGAUGCGAGUGCUGCGGUGGUGGCGUAUGGGAGGUUCUGCACGAGGUGGCCAAUGGUGAGGAGCUGCGGCUUAAGAGGGGGCUAGGGUUUGUUUGCUGAAAAUUUUGAUAGCUAGUGGGCUAGGAUUUGGGCUGGUUUGUUUUUUAUUUUGGGUCUAAAAUGGGUUUUAAAUUGUUGGGCCACACAUAUAUUGUAAAUGGACUAAAAAAAUUGGACUUUUUAAUUGUUUAUUUGGGUUUUAUUUUGUUUUAUUAGCCUGGGCCAAAAUUGGCUAUUAUAGCCCCUCCUUCCUCAUUGUCGUGUAAUGAGAAUUGAGUAAAGACCUUCAAAGAGCCAAUUUUGCCUAGUCUUAUUGAAUCUUCACUUUUUUGGUGCUUCUGCACUUCGAGUAGAUUCAUUCCAUCCCAUUGUAUCUUCAGGGGUACAGGAAUUAGUGCCUCGAUUUGCCCCAAUUUAAUUUCAGGGAGAAGAGAUUUGUGGCUU